UGAGAGAGCAGCUGAGGCCAGCCUUUGUUUGGUGCUUGAUUGGACUUUGUGGUGGUGAGGGUCCAAAGCUUGGAGUGAUUGUUUAAAAACAUCAGCUAAAGCACAGAUCCCAGUCACCUGCAUGCCUUCAACGGCGGGAGGGGAAUGUGUUUCUAAGUCAAGCAAGGUAUGAUAAUUGUUACAUUUGCUUAUGUUUUGUGAAAUGUUUCUUUUAAAGUGUUCUUUGUAUCUUACUGUGUUUCUGUUUGUCUUGUUUCAAAUUGACGUUAUUAGGAGAGCCAACCACUGUUUUUUCCCACUGGUUAGUUUUAUUGUGCUCACACUAGAUCCUUGAAUGGGCCAUACUUUGUGUUUCUGGCUGUGUUAAAGGGGGAAACUGAAAGACACAGUAACUACUUUGCAUGGGUGUUUUGUUUAAUUAGUGUGUAGCAUCCAGAUAUAGUGUUUUUCCAUAGUAUUUGGUUUAAUUGGUUUGAGCGUGUGGGUUAUUUCCUUAUUUGUCUAUCAGUUUGGUUAUAAUUUGUCGGUGCUCAAUUCUACAUCCGUUUCCCUGGUAAUGCAGUCUAGUCCUGAAUUGUGUUUCUUUUGUUUUGAUGUAACAAAUCAAAUUUACAUUCCUAUACUGAUAUAGUAGCCUCUGGUCCAGUUUGUUCUGGCACUUGUGUAUGAAGUAGCGUUUGGUUUACAUUUAAAUAAGGUCUAUUGUUAUGUAACAAGUAAUCAUUUCCAAAUAACUCUUUUCCAACUCAUAUGUUCAUUCAAAAGUAAAGUCUUGCUCAUAACUUUUUCACUGGUAGUUUGAAACUUCAUAAGCACAAAACUUUACCAACUUAAACCUUCAAGAGCCUGAAGUUUGAUCUUCCACCUGAGAAGCUGCUGUCCUUUGGUAAGAAACAUGUCUACCAUAAACAAAAGUACAUCAAACCUAUGUCUAAUUGCCAGACAACAUUUGCAUUACUAUGCCAGCAGUAGUUAGCAUUUGAUGUCUUAUCCUAAGAACCAAUCACUAGAUAGUUAGUCAGGAUUGUGUAUAUAUUCUGGGUUCCUCAGAGAAGGUGCAUGGUAUCUUUGGUGUCUUGUGGAAGUGUUGAGUAUGCAGUUUUCUGAAGGAGAAAAAACUAACUUAAAAUUUCUCUACUAUUCUUACUACUCGUUUACCAGUCAUCCAUUUAUCAAUCUGUCUAUCUUAACAGUAUGUAGACAUAUUUUACCUGUUCUUUUCAAAAACCUUUUUUAUCCAUCCGUCUUCAAGACCAAAGCAAGAGGUAAGUUGAACAUUUUUACUAAUCCCCCUUGAAUGUUUUCAUCAAGCUUGUUUGUAACUAAACUAUCAAAUUUCAUUAUAAACAUGUACAUAUAUAGUAAUGUAUAACAGUAUAUUCUGUUUGCCUACCACCCUGAGGUGGGAAUCAAGGAUGCCAUCAUCUACCUGCUCCAGCAAGCCCACUCACUUGGACAAGGCUGGUGACACUGAGGAUCAUGUUCUUUGACUUUGACUCCAGUGCUGUUAACACUAUCCACCCUGUACUACUGCAGGAUGAGCUCCAAAAGAUGCAUACCUCCGCAAACUCUUGGGAUAUUGCAACACAUUCUCAUCUCAAUGCGUCAUAAAUGACGCUUUCAGACAACGUGACAAGGCCCAAGACCUCCACAUCCAGCAUCUUCACAUCCAAGAUUGUCUGAGACCAUCCACCCGGACAGCUGCUGCAAGAAUCGGUUUGCAUCCUCAAAUAAUUUCUGCACAAACUGUCAGGAACCAUCUCAGGGAAGCUCAUCUGCAUGCUCGUCAUCCUCUUCGCGGCCUCGACCUGACUGCAGUUUGCUGUCGUAACCGAUUUGAAUGGGCAAAUACUCACAUUCGAUGGCGUCUGGCACUUUGGAGAGGUGUUCUCUUCAUGGCUUCAUGAAUCCCAGUUUUCAUCCCAGGGUGAGCAGUUACUGAUGUCCAAAUUGUGGAUUGACAACACAAGAUCCUGAAGCUUGUGCCAUUCAUCCACGACCAUCACCUCGUGUUGCAGCAUGAUAAUGCACAAGCCCUAUGUAACAAGGAUCUGUUCACAAUUUCUAGAAGCUGAAAACAUCCCAGUUCUUGCAUGGCCAGCAUACUCACUGGUCAUGUCACCCACUGAGCACGUUUAGGAUGCUCUGGAUCGGCGUAUACGCCAGCAUGUUCCAGGUCCUGCAACUUUGCACUGAAGAGGAGUGGACCAACUUUACACAGGCCACAAUCAACAACCUGAUCAACUCUAUGCAAAGGAGAUGUGUGUGUUGCACAUUUUCCAGUGGCCUUUUAUCGUGACCAGCCUAAGGAACACCUGUGCAAUACCCAUGCUGUCUGAUCAGCAUCUUGAUAUACCACACCUGUGAGGUGGAUGGAUUAUCUCGGAAAAGAAGUGCUCUCUAACAAAGAUUUUGACAGAUUUGUGAACAAUAUUUGAGAGAAAUAGGCCUUUUGUGUACAUAGAGAAAGGCUUAGAUCUUUGAGUUCAGCUCAU